AGAGUUUGAUCCUGGCUCAGGAUGAACGCUGGCGGUAUGCUUAACACAUGCAAGUCGAACGGUGUCUUCGGACACAGUGGCGGACGGGUGAGUAACGCGUGAGAAUCUGCCUCUAGGUUGGGGACAACAGUUGGAAACGACUGCUAAUACCCUAUGUGCCGUAAGGUGAAAGAUUUAUUGCCUGGAGAGGAGCUCGCGUCUGAUUAGCUAGUUGGUGAGGUAAAGGCUUACCAGGGCAUCGAUCAGUAGCUGGUCUGAGAGGAUGAGCAGCCACACUGGGACUGAGACACGGCCCAGACUCCUACGGGAGGCAGCAGUGGGGAAUUUUCCGCAAUGGGCGAAAGCCUGACGGAGCAAUACCGCGUGAGGGAGGAAGGCCUUUGGGUUGUAAACCUCUUUUCUCAGGGAAGAAGAUCUGACGGUACCUGAGGAAUAAGCAUCGGCUAACUCCGUGCCAGCAGCCGCGGUAAUACGGAGGAUGCAAGCGUUAUCCGGAAUCAUUGGGCGUAAAGCGUCCGCAGGUGGUUUUUCAAGUCUGCUGUUAAAGACUGGAGCUCAACUCCGGAAAGGCAGUGGAAACUGAGAAACUAGAGUUCGGUAGGGGUAGCGGGAAUUCCCAGUGUAGCGGUAAAAUGCGUAGAUAUUGGGAAGAACAUCGGUGGCGAAGGCGCGCUACUGGACCGAAACUGACACUCAGGGACGAAAGCUAGGGUAGCGAAAGGGAUUAGAUACCCCUGUAGUCCUAGCUGUAAACGAUGGAAACUAGGUGUGGCUUGUAUCGACCCGAGCCGUGCCGUAGCUAACGCGUUAAGUUUCCCGCCUGGGGAGUACGCACGCAAGUGUGAAACUCAAAGGAAUUGACGGGUGCCCGCACAAGCGGUGGAGUAUGUGGUUUAAUUCGAUGCAACGCGAAGAACCUUACCAGGGCUUGACAUGUCGCGAAUCUUGGUGAAAGCUGAGAGUGCCUUCGGGAGCGCGAACACAGGUGGUGCAUGGCUGUCGUCAGCUCGUGUCGUGAGAUGUUGGGUUAAGUCCCGCAACGAGCGCAACCCUCGUCUUUAGUUGCCAGCAUUAAGUUGGGCACUUUAGAGAGACUGCCGGUGACAAACCGGAGGAAGGUGGGGAUGACGUCAAGUCAGCAUGCCCCUUACGCCCUGGGCUACACACGUACUACAAUGGUUGGGACAAAGGGCAGCAAACCCGCGAGGGUAAGCGAAUCUCAUCAAACCCAGCCUCAGUUCAGAUUGCAGGCUGCAACUCGCCUGCAUGAAGGAGGAAUCGCUAGUAAUCGCAGGUCAGCAUACUGCGGUGAAUUCGUUCCCGGGCCUUGUACACACCGCCCGUCACACAUGGAAGCUGGUCACGCCCGAAGUAGUUACCCUAACCUUUCGGGGGGGGGGACUCCU
rnacentral:rRNA from 1 species